rnacentral:rRNA from 1 species
AUUCCGGUUGAUCCUGCCGGAGGUCAUUGCUAGUGGAGUCCGAUUUAGCCAUGCUAGUUGUACGAGUUUAGACUCGUAGCAGAUAGCUCAGUAACACGUGGCCAAACUACCCUAUAGAUCCAGAUAACCUCGGGAAACUGAGGCUAAUCCGGAAUAGUACUCUCAGGCUGGAACUACAGAGAGUGUGAAACGCUCCGGCGCUAUAGGAUGUGGCUGCGGCCGAUUAGGUAGACGGUGGGGUAACGGCCCACCGUGCCAGUAAUCGGUACGGGUUGUGAGAGCAAGAGCCCGGAGACGGUAUCUGAGACAAGAUACCGGGCCCUACGGGGCGCAGCAGGCGCGAAACCUUUACACUGCACGCCAGUGCGAUAAGGGGACUCCA